UGGCUGCACGACUGUGAGUUGGGAUUGCUAU
rnacentral:piRNA from 1 species